CCUACGGGUGGCUGCAGUGGGGAAUAUUGGACAAUGGGCGAAAGCCUGAUCCAGCCAUGCCGCGUGUGUGAAGAAGGCCUUCGGGUUGUAAAGCACUUUCAGUGGGGAAGAAAGCCUUGGGGCUAAUACCCUCGAGGAAGGACAUCACCCACAGAAGAAGCACCGGCUAACUCCGUGCCAGCAGCCGCGGUAAUACGGAGGGUGCAAGCGUUAAUCGGAAUUACUGGGCGUAAAGCGCGCGUAGGCGGUCUGAUAAGCCGGUUGUGAAAGCCCCGGGCUCAACCUGGGAACGGCAUCCGGAACUGUCAGGCUAGAGUGCAGGAGAGGAAGGUAGAAUUCCCGGUGUAGCGGUGAAAUGCGUAGAGAUCGGGAGGAAUACCAGUGGCGAAGGCGGCCUUCUGGACUGACACUGACGCUGAGGUGCGAAAGCGUGGGUAGCAAACAGGAUUAGAUACCCCAGUUAGUC
rnacentral:rRNA from 1 species